UAAAACCUGUGAAAUUUUACUCACAUCACCUGAAUGCAACUCAAGCACUUUAAUUAAAUUAAGGCCUU
rnacentral:tRNA from 1 species